AACUUUCAGAGGAACACAGUGACGGCGUGCCCUCGGAGACCAUCUCAGCCUAACGCACCGGGUGUAGGACAGAUUCUUGAAUGGUCACUGCUUACAGGAAAUAAGUGAUUGGACAUGCAAAUCUAUGCCAAUUUUAACCUCAAUAUAAGGACAAGUCCUGGCCCACGGACCUGACGGACCUCAGCCAAACUGCCAUGCUUUAGGUAAUUAGAAUUUUAUUCAUUUGGACUCACAGUUCUGAUGAUGAAAUCUACAUUCUGCAUGUAAGUGGCAAAGAGCGUUUUAGAUUUCUUUCUCUGUGGGUCUCUGUGCAUCAGCUCUUGGGUCUCUGUGCAUCAGCUCAGCCAGCCACACAGCAGAAAGAGGAGGCGCACCAGCCCAUGUGCUUAAAGCACUACUGGUCCCAGGAGAUAGCAGAGCUUCCUCGACCCAUCCAGCAUCCAGGUGAGUCUUUAGAAAUGAAACAAUUCAUUCUAACACAAUGUCUGGUUUUCAGUGAGUCGAAGAAGAUAGUGUCUGAAAAGAAGCCCGCAGGAACGGUGUCUCCUCCGACAUGAAGUCCCACUCCAGAGCUCCGCCCUCAUCAGUGCAACACAACACAAUGGCCAGACACCUGGGUGUGGACACUUCCAUGCUCCGUAGAGCCAUCUGGAACUAUAUUCAGGGCAAGUUUGGGAUUCGGUAAGUCUCUUCACUGCUCACAGUUUCAGAAAUAUGUAGCAACAUUGAAUACAUUUAUUCAUUCUACAAAGAACCUUUUAAAAUGAUAAAGAUGUCUCCGAGACUCCCCCGGGGCCUUCAAAUAAGCACCAGCGGGAGAUCAUUUGUUUAUGCAUCUCAACAGGUCCAAGGCCAGCGGUUUAACAUACGCUUCUGGCAUGUGUGCGCUGAGAUGCUGGACCAGAGGAGGACAGACAUGCUGUACGGACAAGCUGUCUCUCCACUACUCACAGUUUGCAUUCAUGCUGUCAAUGUACCAGACCAGGCAAUCUGAACAAGUUGGUCUGAAAACGGUGUAUCCAGAGUCUAAAAGGGAUCGACAAGUAUAUGGACAAAUCCACAACAAUGUUAGAAAUGUUCCUGCUACACGGAUUAGUCCACUUGACUAUUUCAGGGAAUGCCUUUUUAACCACAAAAUAAUAUUAAUCGUCUUUACUCCACUCCUCCCUGUAUUUCCUCAGCUCUUUUACUUCCUUCUGUAACUGAGUUUUCUCCUGCUCCAAGCUGUCCAACUUACUUAUCAGUUAAUUGCAUUCUGUGUUGCGCUUGUCCAGCUCCCUUAGAAGAAAGUCUACUUGAAGAGCCAUUUCAUCAUCAACAUUUUCAAAAUCAUUUGUUGUUGAUUUGUGUGUGUGAUUAUUUCUGCAGUGUUACAGUCCUAAAGUACAUUUAUGUUGAUGCAGACGGCCCCUUUUUGUCAGAAGGGAGUUGGUGAAGUUGAUGGUCGAUCAGUAGCUGUGGUUGUGGCCCCCACGCACCAUCCAGUUUAAAGUUCUGAUACUGACGCCACUUUGUAACAUCGACCAUCUGUGCUCAACCCUAUGCUCGAUGGUGACGGGUCGUCACUGUGUUUUUUUUUAUGAAGGUAUGCUGCCACAUCCUGAAGGCAGAAAAGCCAGUUGCCCAGGGAAAGCAGGGAAAGACUUAUUUAUUUAUUUUUAAACUUACUGGAUCAUUAUGAUAAUAUCUACUUUGUACAGGUCUGUCGGAAAGGGCGUUUUGAGAUGCUUAAAGGUUAAACUAAUUCCUAUUAUCCAGGAAAGCCGUUCGCCCAGGGAAACUAGGUAUGAUUUAGCAUUUAUGUGGCUCUUUGCAUCAACUCCAGUUGCCCAGAGCCACAGAAGAAAGAGGAGGCGCACAAGUCCAUGUGGUGAAAGCGCUACUGGUCUCAGUAGAGAGCAGUGACCCGUCCUGCACCACCAUGUAAACAGUGGACCAGGUGAGUCAUCAAAAAUGCAACAAUUCCAUUUGUAUGUACAGGGAAAGAGGAGGCGCACAAGUCCAUGUGGUGAAAGCGCUACUGGUCUCAGUAGAGAGCAGUGACCCGUCCUGCACCACCAUGUAAACAGUGGACCAGGUGAGUCAUCAAAAAUGCAACAAUUCCAUUUGUAUGUACAGGAUAAGAUAUGAUCACAAUGGCUACAGUGAAAAAAAAUCAACAUAAUCUUAAAAGAUGGGCCGGCCUUUAAACUGAUGUGCCACAGCAGGAGACCUUUCAGCGCCAAUGGGAUCAUGUCUGAUACAAAAACUUUUCCACUUUUCAUAAUCUACAUCUCGACCUGAGGAAAUCAAGAAGGCCAAGCUGAGCAUCAGUAGCGAUAAGGAGAUAUAUAUCGUGCAGGUAAGUAAAGGUAAGAAAUGUUAAAACAGUUUGGAACUCAGUGAUGUUAUGCCUCCAUGUGACGUAGUCAAAUACCGACAGAAAAUUAGUCUCUCGGCUAAAACAAGUCUGGCUUUUCAUGUCCCAGUCCAAUCAGAACCCGUGUAGGUGUGUAUACAACAGCCAUGCAAAUUAAAACACGGCAACAAGGAAUGGAAAAAGAUGGAUGUGUCAGAUUUUACUUCCAUAUCACAAAGCUAUGGAAUGUUUUUUUUGGGGUUCUUAAUUUUUCCUUUUUGCAGCAUCCCCUGCUGACUCUUUUCAUUUUUAUUGUUACUAUUAUCUGUUUAGUUGUUUAUUAGUAUUGAGUAAUUGUUUAAGGUUAUAUGGUUGACAUGUUCUGUUCUUUUUACCCACAUAGCGAUUGAUAUUUUAAUUACUUACUCCUCCCUUGUUCCUUUUCUUUUUUUUGUUCACAGUCUCCACAAGUUUUGUUGUAUAUAGUUCUUUUGGGGUUUCUGGUAUUCUUAAAUAUCUUGCCUAGUCGAGGGGUGGCCUUGAAAAUAUUUUGGUGGUGGAUAAUGACAGUGAUUUGGGAAUUAAAAGUGUUGGGAACUCUUUUCUUGUAAUCAAGAAAAAUUUUAUAAUUUACUUAAUUAAAAAAAUAUGUUUUACCAAUAACUCUAUGACCAGCUAGACAGCAGCCACUGAAAUGUAAUGUAAAGUCUUGAUGAAAAUGGCAUUUUAUGGCUAGAGCCACUCUCAAAUGUCAGUCAUAUAACUGCAUUCACAGAACUUUCAGAGGAACACAGUGACGGCGUGCCCUCGAAGACCGUCUCAGCCUAACGCACCGGAUGUAGGACAGACAUGCUGUCUGGCCACACAACCAGGUAUGAAUAUAGUUCCAUUGUUUCCAAGGCAUCAAAUUCUUGAAUGGUCACUGCUUACAGGAAAUAAGUGAUUGGACAUGCAAAAACUAUGCCAAUUUUAACCACAAUUCAUAGAGAAAUUAAUCUCAAUAUAAGGACAAGUACUGGCCCACGGACCUGACGGACUUCACCUCAGCAAAACUGCCAUGCUUCAGUCAUGUUUAAAGGUUUAAAGGUUUAAAAAAAAAAAAAAAAAAAAAUAAGUUUAAACUUACUACCAAAAAAAUGUUUUAACUCUCCAGCUCAUUCUGACUCACAGUUCUGAUGAAGAAAUCUACAUUCGUCAAAGAUUGUUUGUGAGAUGCUUAAACUGUCUUCCGUGUCUCUGUGUAUCAGCACAGCCGGCCAAACAGCAGAAAGAAAAAACAAGCCUGUGUGUUUAAAACAAUUCCACUUGUAUGUACGGCAUCAGAUAUGAUGACUACGGCUACAGUGGGUAAUAAUAACCAUUAAUCAAUACAUAUUUAGAUCUUAAACUCCUUUCUUGCAUCUCUAUAAGAAGCAGAAGUCACAGACUUGUUUUUGUUUUCCAAUGAUUUGACAUGGAAACCCUAAACCUGAGAUUAAUCGUGUCUUGUACAAUGAUUCUUCUAACACAGAUAUUUACGCUCUUGGCUUUCUAUUAAGUUUACUUGGCGCAGUCCCAGAUGAGCCACGAGGAGGAGAGAUCACUGAUUUACAUCUAAAAUUUAUUCAAUUUCUUUUUUUUUGCAUCUCUAUAAAAUGUCACAGCCAUGUUUUUGUUUUACAGAUUUAGAUCGUAAAAUAAUUUCUUGCAUUUCUAUAAGAAGCAGAGGUCACAGACUUGUUUUUGUUUUCCAGUGGUUUAACAUACGCUUCUGGCAUGUGUGCGCUGAGAUGCUGGACCACAGGAGGACAGACACGCUGUACGGACGCGUAACCAGGUAUGAUCACACACCUAAUGAGAACUUAUGCUUGCAUCAAUGGAAUCAGAUAUGAUGAUUAAGGCUUUCCAGUGGUGUGACAUGCACUUCAGACAUGUGCGACGUGACAUGUUUUUGACUUGAGUUCUUUGUAAUAUUUUCCGUUUUUUGUGUUAUGCACUAUUUAUGUAUUUGUGUGGUUACUACAUUGGUGCCUGUCGUCUUGACAAUUUUAGGGAGAUGCCACUUUAACUGCAAGGAGAUCAGGGAGAUGCUCCGGCCUUCUGGAUACAGACAGCCCAGGCCCUGUGGAGAAAGAAGCAGCACAAACCACAUAUUACUAUUUGUUUAGAUAUGUAUUAGUAUUGCUUAAUUUGUGUGUUUGUAAACUCACAAACUGUCACACAGAGACUUGUAAGAAUAAAUGUGAGUGAGCUGUACAGAUUUAGUGCUUAAUUUCAAUUCCCUUUAUUUUUAAAUGGUGAUGAAAAUGAAAAAUCAUGAAAGAAUGGUAGAAACCUCAGUUUGUUUUCAUGGCAAGAGUUCAAAAGAUAGCAUCCAUUCAAUUGUUUUAGAAAGAAAAAAACUGAUCACACUUGUAACACAGCUAGUCAUUCUUUCAAAACCUGAUCUCAUGCUUUCAUUACAGUUAUACACUUUUCAGUCCACAUAGUCAUUGUUUCAAACACAAGAUUAUUGUAAUAUGUAAUGAGAACAUUUGGUUUAAUGACAUAAACACAACGGUAUGAUCUUCUUUCAAUGUAGUACUUUUAACAUAAA
rnacentral:lncRNA from 1 species